CCCAGUAGCAGUUUGAGUCUGGGACACUCCCCAGGGCCAUCUGGGGCUGCCCAGGCACUACAGCCAGCAGAAGACGCUACUGGUGUCCCUGAUGUUUGGUCAUUUUCAAUGCCAAUAACUAAACUACAAUGGUUCUCCCACACCUGGAAGCUAAUGAGUAAUGAGCACUAUUAAUGCUUAUUUCAAAUGCAAAAAAACCUUGAUAUAAUGUACUAAAUUGUUCAGAAGGUUGUUUUCUUAGUAGAAUGCUACAGGAUUUUCUUUAGCCAUCCGGAGUUCCUGCCUUCAUCCCAGUGCCGGUAAAGACCAAGGUGGAAGAAUUUC
rnacentral:lncRNA from 1 species